UCUUAGCAUGCGAAGACCGCAUUCCUGGUGUAGUCCUGAGAAGUGAUGCUCCGAGUGUUAAGUUGAUGACAGAAAACUGCUGGCAACACUGAGCAUCAAGACAAAUAAACCAGCUCACAUCUGAAGUUAAA